CGAAUGCUGACAUAAGUAACGAUAAAGCGGGUGAAAAGCCCGCUCGCCGGAAGACCAAGGGUUCCUGUCCAACGUUAAUCGGGGCAGGGUGAGUCGACCCCUAAGGCGAGGCCGAAAGGCGUAGUCGAUGGGAAACAGGUUAAUAUUCCUGUACUUGGUGUUACUGCGAAGGGGGGACGGAGAAGGCUAUGUUGGCCGGGCGACGGUUGUCCCGGUUUAAGCGUGUAGGCUGGUUUUCCAGGCAAAUCCGGAAAAUCAAGGCUGAGGCGUGAUGACGAGGCACUACGGUGCUGAAGCAACAAAUGCCCUGCUUCCAGGAAAAGCCUCUAAGCAUCAGGUAACAUCAAAUCGUACCCCAAACCGACACAGGUGGUCAGGUAGAGAAUACCAAGGCGCUUGAGAGAACUCGGGUGAAGGAACUAGGCAAAAUGGUGCCGUAACUUCGGGAGAAGGCACGCUGAUAUGUAGGUGAAGUCCCUCGCGGAUGGAGCUGAAAUCAGUCGAAGAUACCAGCUGGCUGCAACUGUUUAUUAAAAACACAGCACUGUGCAAACACGAAAGUGGACGUAUACGGUGUGACGCCUGCCCGGUGCCGGAAGGUUAAUUGAUGGGGUCAGCGCAAGCGAAGCUCUUGAUCGAAGCCCCGGUAAACGGCGGCCGUAACUAUAACGGUCCUAAGGUAGCGAAAUUCCUUGUCGGGUAAGUUCCGACCUGCACGAAUGGCGUAAUGAUGGCCAGGCUGUCUCCACCCGAGACUCAGUGAAAUUGAACUCGCUGUGAAGAUGCAGUGUACCCGCGGCAAGACGGAAAGACCCCGUGAACCUUUACUAUAGCUUGACACUGAACAUUGAGCCUUGAUGUGUAGGAUAGGUGGGAGGCUUUGAAGUGUGGACGCCAGUCUGCAUGGAGCCGACCUUGAAAUACCACCCUUUAAUGUUUGAUGUUCUAACGUGGACCCGUGAUCCGGGUUGCGGACAGUGUCUGGUGGGUAGUUUGACUGGGGCGGUCUCCUCCUAAAGAGUAACGGAGGAGCACGAAGGUUGGCUAAUCCUGGUCGGACAUCAGGAGGUUAGUGCAAUGGCAUAAGCCAGCUUGACUGCGAGCGUGACGGCGCGAGCAGGUGCGAAAGCAGGUCAUAGUGAUCCGGUGGUUCUGAAUGGAAGGGCCAUCGCUCAACGGAUAAAAGGUACUCCGGGGAUAACAGGCUGAUACCGCCCAAGAGUUCAUAUCGACGGCGGUGUUUGGCACCUCGAUGUCGGCUCAUCACAUCCUGGGGCUGAAGUAGGUCCCAAGGGUAUGGCUGUUCGCCAUUUAAAGUGGUACGCGAGCUGGGUUUAGAACGUCGUGAGACAGUUCGGUCCCUAUCUGCCGUGGGCGCUGGAGAACUGAGGGGGGCUGCUCCUAGUACGAGAGGACCGGAGU
rnacentral:rRNA from 1 species